rnacentral:sRNA from 1 species
CGAAACCACUGGUACAAUAUUUAACUCUCGGCACCGUCAGGUCGCUUGGGGACAAAUAUAGAGAAAUAGAGGAAAAAGAAAAAAAAAAAGGAAAGGCCAUGACAGGAAGUUUUGGGAAGAUGGCCAGUUUCCUGGGCUUUUACCGAUUUCUUUGGUUUUGAUAUUGGAGCUGACUGGACGUCGAAGUUGCGUGGAAAGUAUACCAAACAUUGUGGUUCGAGAGAAGUUUUUUUUUGUGGCAAAGUGGCCAGUCGACACAACCCAUCCUAAAUCAACCACCUAAACAGAAAAAAGAAACAAGCGACUUGAUAGUCGAAAUAUAUUAUUUUUAUUUAAUUUUGUUGUGCCUUAAAUCUCAAUUUGGUGAAAGGGCAUUAGCCCCUAAAUAAAGUGUGAACCAGAGGUCGAAGAAAAAAAAACACUUGUGAAUGUGGCAGUCGUACAAACCAAGAAGAAAAAAAAUGGUAUUUCAAUUCUAUUAUGAGAACAAACAAGAAAGUUUACUGAAAUCUUGCAAACUAAAGUGAAAAUGCCAGAACCAGGGCUAGGGCUUAUCAGAAGGUGACAGUAGAUAAUGAUGGACCCUCCGCUGAACUGUCCGUCCGUACGUGUAUGUCUGUUUGUAGGUUUCUUUUUCAAUUUGCAGAUUUCUUUUAUCUUUUCUUUUAUUGUCGUAUAAUCAAUCAUAUUUCUUUUUAACUAUGUCAAUUUUUUUCGAAGACAGCACAAUCGGCUUGCGUUAAUGGGGGCAAAAAUUAAUUCAUUAGCUUGUAGAUAUCUAACUUUUUUGCAUGAUUUUAUAGAUAUUUAAGUUGUUAUAUGUUGGUGAGGGUAACGCUGGUGUUACCAAUAUUUGAAUCAACUGUCAACAAUUCGGAGAAAUGGAGAAAUUUCCCCAGCCAACAACGUCAUUUUGUUUAUUUAUUUUUUGUUGUAAUUUAUAAUCAUCUCAUUGGUAUAAAUAAGCCUGUUAGCCCUUUAUUAGCGUGAAAGGAAAACAGUGCCGAAGACCUAAUAAAGAGGAUGGUACCAGAGCCACAAAAGUUUUGGA